ensembl:lncRNA
CUCCUCUCUCCUCCCUCCUCCCCCCUCCCUCCUCUCUCCUCUUUCAACAACAAGCUCUCACUGCAGAAUCCAACAUUUGUCUAUUUAGGCGGUUAAGUUAAGGCAUUAAUUUCGAAUGGUUGAGGUCAGGGUUGAGGUCAGGUUUAAGGUCAGGGUUGAGGUAAGGGUUGAGGUCAGGGUUGAGGUCAGGGUUGAGAAGUGUUGAGGUCAGGGUUGAGGUCAGGGUUGAGGUCAGGGUUGAGGUAAGUGUUGAAGUCAGGUUUAAGGUCAGGGUUGAGGUAAGGGUUGAGGUCAGGGUUGAGGUCAGUGUUGAGGUCAGUGUUGAAGUCAGGUUUAAGGUCAGGGUUGAGGUAAGGGUUGAGGUCAGUGUUGAGGUCAGGGUUAAGGUCAGGGUUGAGGUAAGGGUUGAGGUCAGGGUUGAGGUAAGGGUUGAGAAGUGUUGAGGUCAGGGUUGAGGUCAGGGUUGAGAAGUGUUGAGGUCAGGGUUGAGGUCAGGGUUGAGGUCAGGGUUGAGGUCAGUGUUGAGGUCAGUGUUGAAGUCAGGUUUAAGGUCAGGGUUGAGGUAAGGAUUGAGGUCAGUGUUGAGGUCAGGGUUAAGGUCAUGGUUAAGGUCAGGGUUGAGGUAAGGAGUGAGGUAAGAGUUGAGGGCUAAAACUUUUUAAAAAGUUCCUCGCACUGGGAUUGAAUAUGCAACUCUCGGACCUCACGGCUUACGCCUAUCCGCUAUCCCCGUUCAGAACACCCUGGCAAAACCCAAGCCGACUUGACGGUAAUAGCCCUCACCGUUGCCCCUAGUGGCCGGUUUUGAAGUCAUCUCCCGACGUCCUGCUUUCGCAGUGGAUCCUGAGCGACCCGGCUGCUUUCCUCUCCCUCCCCUCCACAAUAACACACUAUCUAACACACACAGAGUUCGUUGUAUCCUUUUAGUACAUUCCAGUUUAACACUGAUCAAUGGUCCUAAUCAGAGUGAUCUCUUUAUCGAGCCAAACUGCCUCUCUCUGCUGAGGGAAGGAGGGAGAGAGCGAGAGCGAGGAGGGCCAGGUACGCCAUGUCAGAAAAACAACUCUUUUUCUCCCUUCUCC